UUAAGUGACGAUAGCCUAGGAGAUACACCUGUACCCAUGCCGAACACAGCAGUUAAGCCCUAGAACGCCUGAAGUA
rnacentral:rRNA from 1 species